rnacentral:lncRNA from 1 species
CGGGGACGCGCGCGCAGCAGAGGCAGCGCCAACGGCCGCCGUUGAGAGGCGUGAGGCCGCCCCUCGGAGCCCUCCCGCUUUCCCCGGCCUUCCAUCCACACGUGCGCCGGGCGGGGCACACCGGGAAAAAGUUGGCCGCUUUCCCUCCCCCGUAGCUCGUCUCCCGAGCGGUAGCGCAGGCCGCAGCUAGCCGCCGCCUGAGGCUCCGCGCACCGCUGGCCGAAGGGCCGUCGAGCAGAGCUUUCCCGGUGAAAUAGGCGCGGCCGCUCCUGUAGGAGGCGCCAGAGAGCAGCGCAGAAG